GAUACGUUUGGGCCCAGAUUGUCUGUC
rnacentral:piRNA from 1 species